rnacentral:rRNA from 1 species
CGUCUGGUGGAUGGCUCGGCUUGAGCGCCGACGAAGGGCGCGGCGAGCCGCGAUAGGGCCCCGGGUAAGCGUAUGCAGCUUUAGAACCGGGGAUCCCCGAAUGGGACCUCCUACCGCAGACUCCUUCGGGGUCUGCGGUGCUCCCGGCAGGGAGCGGGAACCCCCCGAACGGAAGCAUCUUAGUAGGGGGAGGAAAAGAAACCAAAACGGGAUUCCCUGAGUAGGGGCGACCGAAAGGGGAAGAGUCCAAACCAAAUCCCGUGGGGAAACUCACGGGGGAUGUGGUGUUGUGGGCCGGCCGCCGCUCCUCGCCGGCGAAGCCGAAGUGGCCUGGAAUGGCCCGCCAUAGAGGGUGAUAGCCCCGUAGGCGUAAGCCGGAAGGAGUAUGGGCCGUGUCCCAGAGUACCGUACCCUGGUUUGGGUGCGGGAAGCUGGGAGUCACCAACUUCCAAGACUAAAUACGUCUCAAGACCGAUAGCGCACUAGUACGGUGACGGAAAGCUGAAAAGCACCCCGGGAG